rnacentral:rRNA from 1 species
AGGUAGCGAAAUUCCUUGUCGGGUAAGUUCCGACCCGCACGAAAGGCGUAACGAUCUGGGCACUGUCUCAACGAGAGACUCGGUGAAAUUGAAUUGCCUGUGAAGAUGCAGGCUACCCGCGACAGGACGGAAAGACCCCAUGGAGCUUUACUGUAGCUUGAUAUUGAGUGCUUGUACUGCUUGUACAGGAUAGGUAGGAGCCAUAGAAGCCAGGACGCUAGUUUUGGCAGAGGCGUUGGUGGGAUACUACCCUUGCAUUAUGAUCACUCUAACCCGCACCACUGAUCGUGGUGGGAGACAGUGUCAGGUGGGCAGUUUGACUGGGGCGGUCGCCUCCCAAAAGAUAACGGAGGCGCCCAAAGGUUCGCUCAGAAUGGUUGGAAAUCAUUCGCAGAGUGUAAAGGCACAAGCGAGCUUGACUGCGAGACAGACAGGUCGAGCAGGGACGAAAGUCGGGCUUAGUGAUCCGGUGGUUCCGCAUGGAAGGGCCAUCGCUCAACGGAUAAAAGCUACCCUGGGGAUAACAGGCUUAUCUCCCCCAAGAGUCCACAUCGACGGGGAGGUUUGGCACCUCGAUGUCGGCUCAUCGCAUCCUGGGGCUGUAGUCGGUCCCAAGGGUUGGGCUGUUCGCCCAUUAAAGCGGCACGCGAGCUGGGUUCAGAACGUCGUGAGACAGUUCGGUCCCUAUCCGUCGCGGGCGUAGGAAAUUUGAGAGGACCUGUCCUUAGUACGAGAGGACCGGGAUGGACAUACCGCUGGUGUACCAGUUGUUCCGCCAGGAGCAUCGCUGGGUAGCUAUGUAUGGAUGAGAUAAACGCUGAAAGCAUCUAAGCGUGAAACUCGCCUCAAGAUGAGAUUUCCCAUUCCUUAUGGAAGUAAGACCCCUCAGAGAUGAUGAGGUAGAUAGGAUGGAAGUGGAAGUGCCGCGAGGCAUGGAGCGGACCAUUACUAAUCGGUCGAGGACUUAACCAA